rnacentral:rRNA from 1 species
UAGGGAAUCUUCGGCAAUGGGGGGAACCCUGACCGAGCAACGCCGCGUGAGUGAAGAAGGAUUUCGGAUCGUAAAGCUCUGUUGUUAAGGAAGAACGAGUGUGAGAAUGGAAAGUUCAUACUGUGACGGUACUUAACCAGAAAGGGACGGCUAACUACGUGCCAGCAGCCGCGGUAAUACGUAGGUCCCGAGCGUUGUCCGGAUUUAUUGGGCGUAAAGCGAGCGCAGGCGGUUAGAUAAGUCUGAAGUUAAAGGCAGUGGCUCAACCAUUGUAGGCUUUGGAAACUGUUUAACUUGAGUGCAGAAGGGGAGAGUGGAAUUCCAUGUGUAGCGGUGAAAUGCGUAGAUAUAUGGAGGAACAACGGUGGCGAAAGCGGCUCUCUGGUCUGUAACUGACGCUGAGGCUCGAAAGCGUGGGGAGCGAACAGG